AUGGGUACAGCUCAGUGGUAGAGUGCGUGCCUAGCAUGCACAAGGUCCCGGGUUCAGUCCCUAGUACCUAAA
rnacentral:tRNA from 1 species